AACGAACGCUGGCGGCAUGCCUAACACAUGCAAGUCGAACGAGACCCUCGGGUCUAGUGGCGCACGGGUGCGUAACGCGUGGGAACCUGCCCUUAGGUUCGGAAUAACUCCCCGAAAGGGGUGCUAAUACCGGAUAAUGUCUUCGGACCAAAGAUUUAUCGCCUUUGGAUGGGCCCGCGUUGGAUUAGCUAGUUGGUAGGGUAAAAGCCUACCAAGGCGACGAUCCAUAGCUGGUCUGAGAGGAUGAUCAGCCACACUGGGACUGAGACACGGCCCAGACUCCUACGGGAGGCAGCAGUGGGGAAUAUUGGACAAUGGGCGAAAGCCUGAUCCAGCAAUGCCGCGUGAGUGAUGAAGGCCUUAGGGUUGUAAAGCUCUUUUACCCGGGAUGAUAAUGACAGUACCGGGAGAAUAAGCGCCGGCUAACUCCGUG
rnacentral:rRNA from 1 species